rnacentral:rRNA from 1 species
UACGUAGGGGGCAAGCGUUGUCCGGAAUCAUUGGGCGUAAAGCGCGUGUAGGCGGUUCAGCAAGUCUGCUGUGAAAGCCCAGGGCUCAACCCUGGGAUGCCGGUGGAUACUGCCGGGCUAGAGUGCGGAAGAGGCGAGUGGAAUUCCCGGUGUAGCGGUGAAAUGCGCAGAUAUCGGGAGGAACACCAAUUGCGAAGGCAGCUCGCUGGGACGUCACUGACGCUGAGACGCGAAAGCGUGGGGAGCAAACAGG